UGUUGGAACUCAGGCCUAAACUUCUCUCACGCAAGCAACAACAGCAAGCUAAUUGAUUUCCGGCGAGACGCGCACGUACAAGCUAGCUAGCAAAAUCAAUCAAGCCAGCACUCACGCCAAACCACACACGAAGAUCAAUUGAUGGCCACAGGCACGUAUCGUGCCUGCUGUGUUUUUUCUUUAUUUUCUAUAUUCUGGGAUUAGGAUAACAAGGCACCGUAUGCCCGUACUUAUACAUGGCCAGAGGCCAGUCCGACUCAACAUCUAACAGCCUAACUGAAUACGACUAGGAGACCAACUCGUUGAUUCCCCUGUACAACUCCUAAACCGACUAGAACUAGGUAUGAACCAGAAAUAAACCUAUUCGAAUUUGACCUUAUGCUUACAUUCUCCCCCUAAGAUCAAAACG
rnacentral:lncRNA from 1 species